UACAAAGGGAGCUAGCGUUGUUCGGAAUCACUGGGCGUAAAGCGCACGUAGGCGGAUGUGUCAGUCAGGGGUGAAAUCCCGGAGCUCAACUUCGGAACUGCCCUUGAUACAGCACGUCUUGAGUCCGGAAGAGGUGGGUGGAAUUCCUAGUGUAGAGGUGAAAUUCGUAGAUAUUAGGAAGAACACCGGUGGCGAAGGCGGCCCACUGGUCCGGUACUGACGCUGAGGUGCGAAAGCGUGGGGAGCAAACAGG
rnacentral:rRNA from 1 species